rnacentral:rRNA from 1 species
AUGUCAGCAAUUGUUGUUGCUGGGCUUAUCGGCUACGCAUACGUCAGGUGGAAGGGUUGGAAGAUUUCUGACAUGAUGUGGGUGACGAAGCGGGGUCUAGCCGAUGCCUGCGAUGUCGUGGGAAAACAGUUAGAUGGUGUUUCAAAUACAGUACAGGUUACUAAGAAACAUCUUUCCGGGAGGAUCGACCGGGUCGAUGCUAAUCUAGACGAAACACAAGAAAUUAUCGAAGGGACAAGGGAUGAGGUCGCAGUGAUCCAUGUGGAUCUGAGCGCCUUUCAGAAGGAGCUCCAAGAAGUCAGCCGUACUGUUGAAAUAUGGGGGUCAAGGCUGUCCGGUAUCGAGGACACCCAGGAUCGCACUGUCCGUGCGACAGAAGCGUUGGUUGGGUUCAGCCAACAACUGGAACAUGGCCAGAAUCCCAAUAUUCGCCAGGUCUCAUCGUUCCUUCCAGCUCUAGGAUCCUCAUCAGAGCAAAAGAUCAAAAUUUUGCCGCAGUCUCCUCUUGUAUCUCUUCAAACGGUCGCAUCAGUAGCCGAGCCUAGCGAGGACGAAAGCCAGGACAACCACAAGGCGUUGCCCUCGAGUGAAGGAAGCAUGAGGUGGAAGCUACCUGGACUUGGGCUUAGCUUUCUAAGGAGUUCAUCCGAUGUAUAG